rnacentral:rRNA from 1 species
ACGGAAGGCAGCAGUGGGGAAUAUUGGGCAAUGGGGGAAACCCUGACCCAGCAACGCCGCGUGAAGGAAGAAGGCCUUCGGGUUGUAAACUUCUUUUACCAGGGACGAUAAUGACGGUACCUGGAGAAAAAGCAACGGCUAACUGCGUGCCAGCAGCCGCGGUAAUACGUAGGUUGCAAGCGUUGUCCGGAUUUACUGGGUGUAAAGGGCGUGUAGGCGGAGCUGCAAGUCAGAUGUGAAAUCCCGGGGCUCAACCCCGGAACUGCAUUUGAAACUGUAGCCCUUGAGUAUCGGAGAGGCAAGCGGAAUUCCUAGUGUAGCGGUGAAAUGCGUAGAUAUUAGGAGGAACACCAGUGGCGAAGGCGGCUUGCUGGACGACAACUGACGCUGAGGCGCGAAAGCGUGGGGAGCAGACAGGAUUAGAUACCCUGGUA